GACGAACGCUGGCGGCGUGCUUAACACAUGCAAGUCGAACGGAAAGGCCCUGCUUUUGUGGGGUGCUCGAGUGGCGAACGGGUGAGUAACACGUGAGUAACCUGCCCUUGACUUUGGGAUAACUUCAGGAAACUGGGGCUAAUACCGGAUAGGAGCUCCUGCUGCAUGGUGGGGGCUGGAAAGUUUCGGCGGUUGGGGAUGGACUCGCGGCUUAUCAGCUUGUUGGUGGGGUAGUGGCUUACCAAGGCUUUGACGGGUAGCCGGCCUGAGAGGGUGACCGGCCACAUUGGGACUGAGAUACGGCCCAGACUCCUACGGGAGGCAGCAGUGGGGAAUAUUGCACAAUGGGCGGAAGCCUGAUGCAGCAACGCCGCGUGCGGGAUGACUGCCUUCGGGUUGUAAACCGCUUUCGCCUGUGACGAAGCGUGAGUGACGGUAAUGGGUAAAGAAGCACCGGCUAACUACGUG
rnacentral:rRNA from 1 species